rnacentral:misc_RNA from 1 species
GAUGAAGAACGCAGCGAAAUGCGAUAAGUAGUGUGAAUUGCAGAAUUCAGUGAAUCAUCGAAUCUUUGAACGCACAUUGCGCCCCUCGGUAUUCCGUGGGGCAUGCCUGUUCGAGCGUCAUUUAACCCCUCAAGCCUAGCUUGGUAUUGGGUGCUUGUCCCGCCUCUCGCGCGGCGACUCACCUCAAAGUCAUUGGCAGCCCGCAUCUCGCCGGUCGUGAGCGCAGCACAGACGCGCUCUUGGCAACGACGGAUCGGCUCUCCAAAAGCUUAUUUCAACCACUGACCUCGGAUCAGGUAGGGAUACCCGCUGAACUUAAGCAUAUCAAUAAGCGGAGGA